GACGAACGCUGGCGGCGUGCCUAAUACAUGCAAGUCGAGCGAACCCGGGGUGCUUGCACCCUGAGGGUUAGCGGCGGACGGGUGAGUAACACGUGGGGAACCUGCCUUGCUGUCUGGGAUAACACCGGGAAACCGGUGCUAAUACCGGAUGUCCCCUUUCCGGCACCUGCCGGAGAGGGAAAAGGCGGCUUUGAGCCGCCGCAGCAAGAGGGGCCCGCGGCGCAUUAGUUAGUUGGCAGGGUAACGGCCUCCCAAGGCGACGAUGCGUAGCCGACCUGAGAGGGUGAUCGGCCACACUGGGACUGAGACACGGCCCAGACUCCUACGGGAGGCAGCAGUAGGGAAUCAUCCGCAAUGGACGAAAGUCUGACGGUGCAACGCCGCGUGAGUGAUGAAGGUUUUCGGAUCGUAAAGCUCUGUUGUGAGGGAAGAAUAGGAUGGGGAGGAAAUGCCCGAUCUGUGACGGUACCUCACCAGAAAGCCCCGGCUAACUACGUGCCAGCAGCCGCCGCCG
rnacentral:rRNA from 1 species